UAAGGAAUUCCUGUUAAGGAAAUAUCAUAAAACUAUAUUAUCGCAUAGCACCAAAAUAUAAUUACUCAUAGUUCUCAUUAUAUAAAGGAUACAAGCAAAAUGCUCUUUCUGAAUUCUUCCACAGUUAAUUUCAAGGAUAAACACAACUCCUGUAGAACAAAGCAAUCAUACACUUCCAAACUACGGAUUAGUAUUCCCACUACACUUAGUUCUUGCAAUGAAAACCUGAAGGGUAUCUUGAAGGUCUUGGAUUCAGCAAAGACUAAGCAUCUAAUGAAGAAUUACAUAUAUGCACACACAUAUGGCCAUGCAAAAAUAAAGCACCAUCAGGUUCACUGUUUCUCAAGGAGAGCAGCACCCAGCUUUGCAAAGGGCUCCACAGUGACAACUGAAUUAUUUAAUAGCCAGCAGUGGCAAAGCUCUGAACAAGAUAAGGUCAGACUCUGCAAGGAACAACAUGAAGCACUAGAAUAGAAAUUAGGUUUCCAGGUAGCUCUGUUAUGCAACUUGAAUGUUAUUUAACUGAAAUAAUGAAGUACCUUCAUUAAGCUAUGUUAAUAUUAUCUGUGAACAGGAAGAUAAUAAUUUUCAUUGCUCUCAGUUCUCAAAAAAAAAUGCUUCUGGGAAAAGCAAGGGUAGAAACACCGCCUGAUCUGUUGGACUGGUUUCAGAGGAGGUGUUUUCCUCAGUGAUAACAAAAAAUUAAUAAACUUCACAAAAUGAUCACAACGGGCAUACAUUUAAGAAAUUGAAACAAAUCUAUUAGGCAGAGAUAAAAGGAGAUGUUUUGUUCAGAUUCUCUAUAAAAGCUCUUUCACAGGUGUUCUGAAGCUGUAUCUUACAAUUUCUCAGGUUCAGCAUGGGCAUGAGACCUGUGGUUUCGAUCAGUUGGAGACAUUUGCACAUGUGAAGAAGGGUGACAGAAGGUGGGCAGCUGGAUCUACUGGUUCAUCUCAAGCUCAUCUCCAACAUAAAUGACUACACCCUAUUUCUUUUUGUGCAACUCCUCUGGAAAAUUACUUUAAUAAAAUACAUGUGAAAAUAUUAAGUAGGAACAACUGUGAAAAUCAAAUGGAUCUACUUACGACAACCAAGAAAAUGAAUAAGCAAUUCAUAGUCUAUGAAACUGUAAGGCAACGGAAAUGUCCUUGAUUUGAUCAAGGAAAGGCAAACUCAUUUCAUAGUAUCUCUAGACUUUGACUACCAGUGAAGCAGAGCUGUCUUAUCUUUAGAACAAAGAAAGAGAACAAAAUUCAAACAGGAUUAUAUUUUAAGACAUAAAACUAUCACUCUGUUGACAACUACUGAUACCUGCUGUCAAUAUAAAAGAGGGAAAGGAAAAUUACUUAGUGCAGUAGUUUGAAUGGAUGAUUUCUCAGUGUCAAAGAUUUAAUAAAACUAACAUUUUCUCUCUCUCUCUCUCUCUUUUUUUUUCUUUUUUUUUUUUUUUUUUUUUUUACCAGAAUUAAUCAUUUUCUCAUUUGUUGUUCAAUAUUUUAUCCAUACAUAAAAAUAUUAAUAUCUGUGCAGUGCAUCAUAGCCAAACUCUACAGUAAAUCACUCACAUUCCGAAAUAAAAGUAAAUGGCAAGCUACCACUUAAACAACUCUUCUGGAGAACUUCUGCUAAGCAUCUCCUCUGCUAAAAUAAAGUUCCCUCAUAGCUCUACAGCUGUGAAACAGUAGUUCCAUUUAGCAUUUCACAUCUGAUCAGCAGAAC
rnacentral:lncRNA from 1 species